rnacentral:rRNA from 1 species
UACAGAGGUCCCAAGCGUUGUUCGGAUUCAUUGGGCGUAAAGGGUGCGUAGGCGGCGCGGUAAGUCGGGUGUGAAAUCUCGGAGCUUAACUCCGAAACUGCAUUCGAUACUGCCGUGCUUGAGGACUGGAGAGGAGACUGGAAUUUACGGUGUAGUGGUGAAAUGCGUAGAUAUCGUAAGGAAGACCAGUGGCGAAGGCGGGUCUCGUGGACAGUUCCUGACGCUGAGGCAACGAAGGCCAGGGGAGCAAACGGG